rnacentral:rRNA from 1 species
ACGAACGCUGGCGGCGUGCUUAACACAUGCAAGUCGAGCGGAAAGGCCCUUCGGGGUACUCGAGCGGCGAACGGGUGAGUAACACGUGAGUAACCUGCCCCUGACUCUGGGAUAAGCCUGGGAAACUGGGUCUAAUACCGGAUAUGACACAUGACGGCAUCGUUGGUGUGUGGAAAGUUUUUCGGUUGGGGAUGGACUCGCGGCCUAUCAGCUUGUUGGUGGGGUAAUGGCCUACCAAGGCGACGACGGGUAGCCG